rnacentral:siRNA from 1 species
AGACAAAUUCACUCCUCUCUCAGC